UCUUAUUUUGGUUCGUUUUUCGUUGUUCUGGUUUUGUUCUGAUUUCGUGGUUCAUUGUGCCUUGGUUUGGGUACUUCGUUGUGUCCUGAUUUGGUUCUGGUUUGUCUUCUAAUUUCUACCUUCUACCGUCGAUUUCUCUGUGUCUACUAUUCGUUUUGGGUUCUUUUUUUGUUAUUCGUUUUGAGUAACUCGUUUUGGGUUCUUUGUUUCAUCUGAUGGCUCUGUUAAGAUGCCUUGGGUACUGUUAAGGUGGCCUCCGUCAGGGCGUGGUCACGAUGAUUACUCUGGAUUUGAUAGAAGGUCACGACUACUCUAGGAUUUGAGAAAUUGAUAAUAAGAGUUUUCGGAUCUUUAUUUUGGGUUCUUCGUUCCGAGUUCUUCUUUUAAUCAGAGUUUUAGUGUAGUUUUGGGUUCUUCAUUUUGGGUAACACGUUUUGGGUUCUUUGUUUUAUCAGAGUUUUUUGAACUUUUAAUUAUGCAACUGAUUCGAUAAAAUCACAAGCUUUAGUGCAGUUUCAGAAGAAAGACAAACAUCGUCAUAGCAUGACUAAACUUAAAGAGAGUACAUUAACAAUCAAGAACUCAAGACUGAUCGAAGAAGUUUAGUGGUUAAUAAUAAAGACACACCAACGAAGAAGCUUAGUGGUUUACAUUACAAAAAAAAAAACUAGAGAAGAUGGGCCUCAUGCCCUAAACAACAGGAUAUUUUUUAUUAAGACUUACCAAAGUUGGAGGAAAUAGA
rnacentral:lncRNA from 1 species